UUCAAUUCGCUGAAAUUCGACAGUUGCCCGGAUCUGUGAAUUUCCGGCCAGACAGACCCAUUACCGGAAAAGUCUCCGAAUUGGACCGAGGUUUUGGCUACCCCCCCAUUGUCAGACAUCCCGAGCGCGUUCCCGAAGUCGGAAUCGGCAAAGGUGAGCCGGGACAGCCUUCUUCCUCCGCCCAGCCGCCACAGUAACCGUUGUCAAGUCUGCCACAGGAGGAUAUUUUUUAGAUUAACCUGCUUUCUUCCUCGCAGGUCGAUUAUUAACGUUUGUAUAAACUUGUUAAAUCUUAGAAUUUCUGCAUGUGUUAGAAAUGUUUAUUUGAUAUGGGUCUGUAAACUAAAUUAUUAUUUUGGACCUGUAAACUUAAUAUUCUAUGCA